rnacentral:snRNA from 14 species
UUACUUACCUGGCAAGGGAGACUCCAUAAUCAAGAAGGUGACUCUUCCAGGUUGAGAUUUGCCUAACACUCUGUAUGUGCUAACCCCUUUGAUUUGCCCAGCUGAAGAUAAAGUGACUUCGUAUUUCUGCUAUCGGGAAACCGUGAUGAAAAAGUUGAAAAUAGGGCUUUUCUUA